ACGAACGCUGGCGGCAGGCUUAACACAUGCAAGUCGAACGGGUGUAGCAAUACAUCAGUGGCAGACGGGUGAGUAACACGUGGGAACCUUCCUAGGGGUACGGAACAACUCAGGGAAACUUGAGCUAAUACCGUAUACGUCCGUGAGGAGAAAGAUUUAUCGCCCUUAGACGGGCCCGCGUCGGAUUAGCUAGUUGGUGGGGUAACGGCCUACCAAGGCGACGAUCCGUAGCUGAUCUGAGAGGAUGAUCAGCCACACUGGGACUGAGACACGGCCCAGACUCCUACGGGAGGCAGCAGUGGGGAAUCUUGGACAAUGGGCGCAAGCCUGAUCCAGCCAUGCCGCGUGAGUGAAGAAGGCCUUAGGGUUGUAAAGCUCUUUUACCAGGGACGAUAAUGACGGUACCUGGAGAAUAAGCCCCGGCAAACUUCGU
rnacentral:rRNA from 1 species